rnacentral:rRNA from 1 species
GACGAACGCUGGCGGCGUGCCUAAUACAUGCAAGUCGAACGCAGUGGGGACGGGUGAGUAACACGUGGGUAACCUCCCAUCAGAGGGGAUAACACUUGGAAACAGGUGCUAAACCGAUACUGAUGGAUGGACCCCCGGUGCAUUAGCUAGUUGGUGAGGUAACGGCUCACCAUGGCCACGAUGCAUCGCCGACCGGAGAGGUGUAUCUGCCACAAGGGGACUGAGACACGGCGCAGACUCCAAGGGGAGGCAGCAGUAGGGAAUCUUAGGCAAUGGACGAAAGUCUGACCGAGCAACGCCGCGUGAGUGAAGAAGGUUUUCGGGUCGUAAAACUCUGUGGUUAGAGAAGCGGUAUCUAACCAGAAAGCCACGGCUAACUACGUGCCAGCAGCCGCGGUAAUAC